UGACGCUGGCGGCAGGCUAACACAUGCAAGUCGAGCGGUAGAGAGAAGCUUGCUUCUCUUGAGAGCGGCGGACGGGUGAGUAAUGCCUAGGAAUCUGCCUGGUAGUGGGGGAUAACGUUCGGAAACGGACGCUAAUACCGCAUACGUCCUACGGGAGAAAGCAGGGGACCUUCGGGCCUUGCGCUAUCAGAUGAGCCUAGGUCGGAUUAGCUAGUUGGUGGGGUAAUGGCUCACCAAGGCGACGAUCCGUAACUGGUCUGAGAGGAUGAUCAGUCACACUGGAACUGAGACACGGUCCAGACUCCUACGGGAGGCAGCAGUGGGGAAUAUUGGACAAUGGGCGAAAGCCUGAUCCAGCCAUGCCGCGUGUGUGAAGAAGGUCUUCGGAUUGUAAAGCACUUUAAGUUGGGAGGAAGGGUUGUAGAUUAAUACUCUGCAAUUUUGACGUUACCGACAGAAUAAGCACCGGCUAACUCUGUGCCAGCAGCCGCGGUAAUACAGAGGGUGCAAGCGUUAAUCGGAAUUACUGGGCGUAAAGCGCGCGUAGGUGGUUAGUUAAGUUGGAUGUGAAAUCCCCGGGCUCAACCUGGGAACUGCAUUCAAAACUGACUGACUAGGAGUAUGGUAGAGAGGUGGUGGAAUUUCCUGUGUAGCGGUUGAAAUGCGUAGAUAUAGGAAGGAACACCAGUGGGCGAAGCGACCACCUGGACUGAUACUGACACUGAGUGCGAAAGCGUGGGGAGCCAACCGGAUUAGAUACCUGGGUAAGUCACGCCGUAAACGAAUGUCAACU
rnacentral:rRNA from 1 species